GGCUUUCCUGUGACUCUUGUCGCAUCCUUACCGCCAGAAGUUCACUGAGCCCUGGCGAUUCCUCGCUUUUAUAAUCUAGCCACUUAGCCAAAGCCCUCUUUUAUCUCUUGCCUAAUUGACAACUACAGCAGCGCACUGAGGCAAUCUGAGAGUUUAAGUUCUGAAACGCUUUCGACAGCGGAAGAUGAACUGGAGGCAGCAGCUGAGCCGUUUUCCAAGCCCGUUAAAUGUGAACUUCUGAAAAACGAGUGAUUUUUUUAAAAUUUCCUAUGUACAUACAAGCUUACUGUUGAAGUCCUCUCAUCCAAUGCACUCAGAACGGGACUGUAAGUCCAGCUGCUGUGUAUCAUCACCUCAGCCCGAUUGGUCCUCGGCCACACCUUCACUUCAGCUUCUGAUAGGUCCUGGGCCAAGCUAAGCAGCAUCUAUGAAUCAUUUCACCUCCUGACUGGUCCCGGGCCAAGCCGAGUCACACAUUCGCCAAGACAGCCCCCAGACUAAGCACAUUCCUUCCCCUUCCGUCCAUAAAAACCUGGACCCCAGCCUCAUGAUGGGCACUCCCAUUCGGGACCCCCUCUCUGCUGGCAGAGAGCUUUCUUCUUUCAUCUUAUUAAACUUUCACUCUAACCUCA
rnacentral:antisense_RNA from 1 species